rnacentral:rRNA from 1 species
AGUGAACGCUGGCGGUAGGCCUAACACAUGCAAGUCGAACGGCAGCACAGUAAGAGCUUGCUCUUACGGGUGGCGAGUGGCGGACGGGUGAGGAAUACAUCGGAAUCUACUUUUUCGUGGGGGAUAACGUAGGGAAACUUACGCUAAUACCGCAUACGACCUACGGGUGAAAGCAGGGGAUCUUCGGACCUUGCGCGACUGAAUGAGCUGAUGUCGGAUUAGCUAGUUGGCGGGGUAAAGGCCCACCAAGGCGACGAUCCGUAGCUGGUCUGAGAGGAUGAUCAGCCACACUGGAACUGAGACACGGUCCAGACUCCUACGGGAGGCAGCAGUGGGGAAUAUUGGACAAUGGGCGCAAGCCUGAUCCAGCCAUACCGCGUGGGUGAAGAAGGCCUUCGGGUUGUAAAGCCCUUUUGUUGGGGAAGAAAAGCAGCAGGUUAAUACCCCGCUGUUCUGACGGUACCCAAAGAAUAAGCACCGGCUAACUUCGUG